rnacentral:rRNA from 1 species
UACGAAGGGUGCAAGCGUUAAUCGGAAUUACUGGGCGUAAAGGGAGCGUAGGCGGCUUUUUAAGUCGGAUGUGAAAUCCCCGGGCUUAACCUGGGAAUGGCAUCCGAUACUGGGGAGCUAGAGUUUGGGAGAGGGUGAUGGAAUUCCCGGUGUAGCAGUGAAAUGCGUAGAUAUCGGGAGGAAUACCGAUGGCGAAGGCAGGUCUCUGGGCUGACACUGACGCUCAUGCACGAAAGCGUGGGGAGCAAACAGG